GUCUCGACCAGGACCUCGGUGAAAUUGCAGUACGAGUAAAGAUGCUCGUUAAGCGCAGAAGGACGAAAAGACCCCGGGACCUUUACUAUACCUUGGUAUUGUCGUUCGCUGCUGGUUGUGUAGAAUAGGCGGGAGACUAUGAAACCCGGCCGCUAGGCUGGGUGGAGUCAUCAAGUGAAAUACCGUUCUGCUGGCAGUGGGCGUCUAACCUGAGCAUGUUAUCCAUGCUAGGGACAGUGCCUGGCGGGUAGUUUAACUGGGGCGGUUGCCUCCUAAAGAGUAACGGAGGCGCUCAAAGGUCCGCUCAACCCGGUUGGCAAUCGGGUGUUGAGUGUAAUCACACAAGCGGGCUUGACUGUGAGACUGACAGGUCGAGCAGGGACGAAAGUCGGAGAUAAUGAUCCGGUGCCGGUGUACGGACGCGGCAUCGCUCAACGGAUAAAAGGUACCCCGGGGAUAACAGGCUGAUCAUUCCCAAGAGUCCAUAUCGACGGGAUGGUUUGGCACCUCGAUGUCGGCUCGUCGCAUCCUGGGGCUGGAGCAGGUCCCAAGGGUUUGGCUGUUCGCCAAUUAAAGCGGCACGCGAGCUGGGUUCAGAACGUCGUGAGACAGUUUGGUCUCUAUCCUCUGCGCUCGUUGGAAUCUUGAGGAGCCCUGCCCAUAGUACGAGAGGACCUGGGUGGACGAACCUCUGGUAUGCCAGUUGUCACGCCCGUGGCACUGCUGGUUAGCUACGUUCGGAUAGGAUAACCGCUGAAAGCNNNNNNNNNNAAAGCAUCUAAGCGGGAAGCCUUCUCCAAGAUAAGGAUUCCCCCACACCCUAGAGUGUGAAGAGUCCCCCCACCAGACCAUGGGGUUAAUAGGCCAGACGUGGACACAUGGCAACAUGCGCAGCUGACUGGUACUAACGGACAACAGCACCAAC
rnacentral:rRNA from 1 species